rnacentral:rRNA from 1 species
UGUUGACCUCGGAUCAGGUAGGAAUACCCGCUGAACUUA